CAGCCCCGUACCCUCAGUCUGCAACCCAAGGACAUGACUCUAUUGAGUCAGGCACCAAAAGAAACGCCCAAAGUGAGAAAGUUUGAGAGCUACAAUGCUGACACAUAUAAAACAGAUGAACAGAAAAAAGAAGAGUUGAUGAGUGCUAUGACCAACAAAUUGUCUAAACAAGAAGCCCCUCUUCCCCAAGAUUUAGCAGAAGGAGUGGAUGAAGAUGAAUGGGAUGACUAAUAAGGAGGAUAUUAAUAUAUCAAAAAACUUUCUGAUGUAAUCAGUCUCCAUCCUAUUUCGCCAUACAUACCAAGUGCUCUUUUUUUUUCAGAACUGUUUUAAUGACCUAGAUCCUACCAAAAAACUUUCCAUUAAUAUAUCUAAUAUGGAUACUAUGCACUUAUAUUUUAAUGAAUUUGUACAUGUAUGAUAUUUGCAUUACAUCAAUGGAUAUGCAUUGUCAUAGAGACCAACUGUUAUUUAUUAAAUCACAUUAAAAUG
rnacentral:misc_RNA from 1 species